CCUUUAAUUGCGGCUCUUUAGUAAAUAAAUAAAACCGAAAAAGCACCGUUUCAAAAACCAGCCGUUCCAAACCUCUUCACGUUUUCAAUUCAUCCAAACAAUGAAGGUUUAAUUGCAGUACAAAGAGACAAACCACCGUUUCAACAAAACCAGCCCUCCAAUUCGCACCAAAGCAGAGAAAGACCAACAUACAGGACCCUAUAUCAAACUUAAUGUCUUUGCGUAGGGUUUGCCAGAGUAAGGAACAAUGACUCAAAAUAUAGAGAUUUUGGUGAAAGUUUUCGCCAGACUUUAUUAUGAUUGAAAAGAGGAGUAUAUUUUAAGUAGCACAAAAUCUUCUCUGUUUUUCUUAAUUUUUCACAAUUAUUGAGGAAGAUUUAAGUUUGGGAUUGCUAUAAUAUGAUCUCCUCUGCUUUCCUACU